rfam:Anopheles sinensis unplaced genomic scaffold AS2_scf7180000691589, whole genome shotgun sequence.
AAAAUGGUCUCUUUUCAGAGCCACCAAAUGGUAACAACAAGAAUUUU